AGCGAACGCUGGCGGCAGGCUUAACACAUGCAAGUCGAGCGGGCAUCUUCGGGAGUCAGCGGCGGACGGGUGAGUAACGAGUGGGAACGUGCCUUCUGGUUCGGAAUAACUCAGGGAAACUUGAGCUCAUACCGGAUACGCCCUUUUGGGGAAAGGUUUACUGCCGGAAGAUCGGCCCGCGUCUGAUUAGCUAGUUGGUGGGGUAGCGGCCUACCAAGGCGACGAUCAGUAGCUGGUCUGAGAGGAUGACCAGCCACACUAGGACUGAGACACGGCCCAGACUCCAACGGGAGGCAGCAGUGGGGAAUAUUGGACAAUGGGGGCAACCCUGAUCCAGCCAUGCCGCGUGAGUGAUGAAGGCCUUAGGGUUGUAAAGCUCUUUUAUCCGGGACGAUAAUGACGGUACCGGAGGAAUAAGCCCCGGCUAACUUCGUGCCAGCCGCCGCCGUAA
rnacentral:rRNA from 1 species